rnacentral:rRNA from 1 species
GAAAGAUUCAUCGGAAGAGGAUGGGCAUGCGGCGCAUUAGCUAGACGGCGGGGUAACGGCCCACCGUGGCGACGAUGCGUAGGGGUUCUGAGAGGAAGGUCCCCCACACUGGUACUGAGACACGGACCAGACUCCUACGGGAGGCAGCAGUGAGGAAUAUUGGUCAAUGGGAGAGAUCCUGAACCAGCCAAGCCGCGUGAGGGAAGACGGCCCUAUGGGUUGUAAACCUCUUUUGUCGGAGAACAAAACCCGGGACGUGUCCCGGACUGCGUGUAUCCGAAGAAAAAGCAUCGGCUAACUCCGUGCCAGCAGCCGCGGUAAUACGGAGGAUGCAAGCGUUAUCCGGAUUUAUUGGGUUUAAAGGGUGCGUAGGCGGUCCGUUAAGUCAGCGGUAAAAUUGCGGGGCUCAACCCCGUCGAGCCGUUGAAACUGGCAGACUUGAGUUGGCGAGAAGUACGCGGAAUGCGCGGUGUAGCGGUGAAAUGCAUAGAUAUCGCGCAGAACUCCGAUUGCGAAGGCAGCGUACCGGCGCCAGACUGACGCUGAGGCACGAAAGCGUGGGGAUCGAACAGGAUUAGAUACCCUGGUAGUCCACGCAGUAAACGAUGAAUGCUGGUUGUCCGGGUCGAAUGAGAUCUGG